GAUGAACGCUGGCGGCGUGCCUAAUACAUGCAAGUCGAGCGAACAGAUGAGGAGCUUGCUCCUCUGACGUUAGCGGCGGACGGGUGAGUCACACGUGGAUAACCUACCUAUAAGACUGGGAUAACUUCGGGAAACCGGAGCUAAUACCGGAUAAUAUAUUGCACCGCAUGGUUCACUAGUUAAAGACGGUUUUGCUGACACUUAUAGAUGGAUCAGCGUCGCAUGAGCUAGUAGGUAAGGUAACUGCUUACCAAGGCUACGAUGCGUAGCCGACCUGAGAGCGUCGUCGGACACCCUGGAAGUGAGACAGGGUCCAGACUCCUACGGUAGGCCGCAGCAGGGACUCUUCCGCAAGGGAGCAGAGGCUGACGGAGCAACGCCGCGUGAGUGAUGAAGGUCUUAGGAUCGGAGAACUAUGUUAUUAGGGGAGAACUAAUGUGUAAGUAACUAUGCACGUAUUGACGGUACCUAAUCAGAAAGCCCCGGCUAACUACGUG
rnacentral:rRNA from 1 species